rnacentral:rRNA from 1 species
UACGUAGGGUGCGAGCGUUGUCCGGAUUUAUUGGGCGUAAAGAGCUUGUAGGCGGCUCGUCGCGUCGGGUGUGAAAACUUGCGGCUUAACCGCAAGCCUGCACCCGAUACGGGCGGGCUAGAGUUCGGCAGGGGAGACUGGAAUUCCUGGUGUAGCGGUGAAAUGCGCAGAUAUCGGGAGGAACACCGGUGGCGAAGGCGGUUCUCUGGGCCUGUACUGACGCUGAGGAGCGAAAGCGUGGGGAGCAAACAGG